UACGGAGGGUGCAAGCGUUAAUCGGAAUUAUUGGGCGUAAAGGGUGCGUAGGCUGGAGUAUAAGUCAGAUGUGAAAUUCCAUGGCUCAACCAUGGAGCUGCAUUUGAAACUAUACUUCUAGAGGGAGAGCGGAGAAAACGGAAUUCCACGUGUAGCGGUGAAAUGCGUAGAUAUGUGGAAGAACACCUGUGGCGAAAGCGGUUUUCUAGCUCUUACCAGACGCUGAGGCACGAAAGCAAGGGGAGCAAACAGG
rnacentral:rRNA from 1 species